GCCGGGCGUGGUGGUGCAUGCCUGUAAUCCCAGCUAUUCAGGAGGCUGAGGCAGGAGAAUUGCUUGAACCCAGGAGGCAGAGGUUGCAGUGAGCUGAGAUCAUGCCACUGCACUCCAGCCUGGGUAACAGAGCGAGACUCUGUCUCAG
ensembl:misc_RNA Metazoa_SRP Metazoan signal recognition particle RNA